UACGAAGGGGGCUAGCGUUGCUCGGAAUCACUGGGCGUAAAGGUGCGUAGGCGGGUCUUUAAGUCAGGGGUGAAAUCCUGGAGCUCAACUCCAGAACUGCCUUUGAUACUGAGGAUCUUGAGUACGGGAGAGGUGAGUGGAACUGCGAGUGUAGAGGUGAAAUUCGUAGAUAUUCGCAAGAACACCAGUGGCGAAGGCGGCUCACUGGCCCGUAACUGACGCUGAGGCACGAAAGCGUGGGGAGCAAACAGG
rnacentral:rRNA from 1 species